rnacentral:rRNA from 1 species
UACGUAGGGGGCAAGCGUUGUCCGGAUUUACUGGGCGUAAAGGGCGUGCAGGCGGUUUUUUAAGUUCAGGGUGAAAGCUCCCGGCUCAACUGGGAGAGGUCCUUGGAUACUGGCAGACUUGAGGAGGGUAGAGGAGAGUGGAAUUCCCGGUGUAGUGGUGAUAUGCGUAGAUAUCGGGAGGAACACCAGUGGCGAAGGCGGCUCUCUGGGCCCUACCUGACGCUGAGACGCGAAAGCGUGGGGAGCGAACAGG